rnacentral:rRNA from 1 species
GACGAACGCUGGCGGCGUGCUUAACACAUGCAAGUCGAACGGAAAGGCCCUGCUUUUGUGGUGUGCUCGAGUGGCGAACGGGUGAGUAACACGUGAGUAACCUGCCCUUGACUUUGGGAUAACUUCAGGAAACUGGGGCUAAUACCGGAUAGGAGCUCCUGCUGCAUGGUGGGGGUUGGAAAGUUUCGGCGGUUGGGGAUGGACUCGCGGCUUAUCAGCUUGUUGGUGGGGUAGUGGCUUACCAAGGCUUUGACGGGUAGCCGGCAUGAGAGGGUGACCGGCCACAUUGGGACUGAGAUACGGCCCAGACUCCUACGGGAGGCAGCAGUGGGGAAUAUUGCACAAUGGGCGGAAGCCUGAUGCAGCAACGCCGCGUGCGGGAUGACGGCCUUCGGGUUGUAAACCGCUUUCGCCUGUGACGAAGCGUGGGUGACGGUAAUGGGUAAAGAAGCACCGGCUAACUACGUG